UACGGAGGGUGCGAGCGUUGUCCGGAAUCAUUGGGCGUAAAGGGCGCGUAGGUGGCGGGACAAGCGUGCGGUGAAAGCUCGGGGCUCAACCCCGAGUCGGCCGUGCGAACUGUUUUGCUGGAGCACUGUAGAGGCAGGCGGAAUUCCGGGUGUAGCGGUGGAAUGCGUAGAGAUCCGGAAGAACACCGGUGGCGAAGGCGGCCUGCUGGGCAGUAGCUGACACUGAGGCGCGACAGCGUGGGGAGCAACAGG
rnacentral:rRNA from 1 species